UAAUCCUAAAGUUAAUUUAACCAGCAGUUUCAGGUUGUUGUCUGACUUAAGCAACAAGCGCUCCACUCCUCAGGUGUGGUUUCUGAUGGAGGUCAACCAACAGUCACGGCUCAGUUCUUCUUGGUGACCUUCUGAACCCUCGUUCGUGAGUCUAGCUGUACAUGCUUGAUGAUGUAGAGCUGAAGUCAUCUGGAGAAAUGCUUACAAGAACUGUGACACAUUUUUGCUGUGACCACAACUAUAAAAUGAGUCAGUCAGCUCUGCAGGCUGUGGAGGAUGUAGAGUCUCUUGGGAUGUGAGCAUGUGGCUGUAACAUAACCACAGAGUUAGAGGUCAAAAUGCCUCAAACAUGAUUUUUUUUUUUCAGAGUCUUUUGGCUGCAGCUGGUUUAAUAAUGACCUGUACAUGAUAGGUAGUUUGUGUUAGGUGACCGAGGUGAAGUUGCCAUUUUAGUUCUUAUUUGUCUGCGGCCUUUGACACAGUCGAUUGCUCUAUUUUAAUGGAUCGGCUAGAAAGGUUGGGAAAAUCCGGUGUUGCACUAAACUGGUUUUCUUCUUAUCCAACUGGAAUUUUUUUGCAUCCAUUGAUGUGCUCCUUUAACUUGUGGGGUGCCUCAUGGGUCGAUUCCUGGCCCCGUUUUAUUUUCUCCGUAUAUGCUCCAUAGGGCACUUGAUCCAGCAAUGUGUUUGUGUGCUUUAUCAUUGCUACGCUGAUGAUGCACAACUCUACUUAUCCAUUAGGCCCGGUGACCUCUCAAAUUGAACUACUCUGCACAAGUAUCUGGCUGAGAUUAGUAAUUGGAUGUCUCAAAAUGUUCUUCAAUUAAAUCACAGUAAAACUGAAGAACUGUUUUUUGCCCCAGACCAGGUCUCUGCAAACAUUCUCAAACACCUAGGGUCAACUAUUACAAUGUCUUUUGCUUUGAGGGUUACUUUACAUCAAGACAGUUAUUCAGUCUUGCUAUUUUCACCUGAGCAAUAUUGCAAAAAUACACCCAAACCUCCUAACAGUUGGAAAUGGUCAUCCAUUCAUUUGUGUCCUCCCACUUAGACUACUGUAAUGCUCUUUAUUCCUGUCUUAAGCAUUAGGACAUUUUCACUACUUUCUAAUAUUUGACAGGCCAAAUUAUUAAUUGAGAAUACAAACCAAACGAUUAAUAGAUAAUGAAAAUUAUCGUUGGUUGCAGGCUUAAUUGUAAAUCCACCAGUCUUAGAAAAUAACUACAUAAAUGUACUGAAGUACUGUGCUUAAGUACAAGUUUGUACUAACUUUACUUGAGAAUUUCUUGUUCGCGAUGUACUCCAACUACACUAUAUAUCAGAGGUUAUUAUUCUACAUUUUACCCCACUUCAUUUUUCUGAAAGCUGCAGUUACUAAUUACUUUUCUGUUUAAGCUAUAAAAAUGGUACUCUACUACUCUCAUUUGAAGAUUUAAUCUACCUCUGAAUGUUACUGCUGCACACAAUGAGACACAACACAUGGAAGUCCAGGGAGGCUUUCUGCACAUCAGGUUCCAUUACCGUAGAUAACAGUAGAACAUAUAUUUGACACCUCACUUGGAUGUCAGUGGUCAGACCAUUACUAUAUAUUUGUUUAUUGCACUUACAGAAUCAGUUGGUUUGUCAGCUGCUUGGCUUGAUGUCACAAUAUGCAUUACCUGGUGGUGUUUGUCAUUGAAGCUGCCACAGUCUCCUACACAUUAAUUUUACUACUUUAGUAUUGUUUCAGUGUUGAGAGAGGAGCCAGUUUGAAUAUGACAGUUACCACAAAUGAGUCAUUUUAGGCUCGGGGUGGUUCCUAAUGGACACUGACAUGGAAGAAAGAUUGUUAUCAUUUUAUCUAUCAAAUAUCUGUAGACUAUUUUCUUGUUACUCUAUCUUGGUCGUAUCUGGUAUUGUUUCAUUCAUCCUAUAGGCUGACUUGUGUUGUAAAAUUGUUUCAUUAGAAGUUGGUUUUCAGUGUGAUGUCUCAAUAUUCAUUACUUAAUGCAUAACCUUGGGGUGUUUAUACACAAGUGCCUCCUAACCAAAGCCAGGAACCUGCAGAGGAAACUACACACUAUUAAAACACUAGAACAGUUUCUACACUCAGCCUGCUAUUGGUGUUAACUGUGUCACAUCUUCAGGCUAAUUCCUUGGUUAUCAUCUGAGAAGUGCACAGCUUUAAUUGUUCAGCUGCCACAAAAAGAGAUGAAUCUUUUCAUUGUGUUCACAGAGGUAGACGCGAAGCAAAAAGCUAAACCACCGUCAACUUCUUUCUCACAGAAGUGUUUGUUUGUUCUCUGGAAGUCGCACACGUACACAGGCGCAAAACAAUUCAAUGGAAGCACUCUGUAAACACAUCCUGCUCUUCACGCACUGCCUGUUCAUGCACCAAAAGUUACUGAGUAAUUCUCCUUCUUGCAAUUAAGUUGCAUCAGCACUCUAACCCAUAGGAAUUUCCCACUUUCGUUUUAUGAGAAGAAGAAAGCCACAAAGUUCUUUCACAAGUCAAACCUUUUACUGUAUUAGCUGAAUCCGCCUCUCCUGCAAGUAACCUGUCUAUGAUUACUUUAGUUUAUUUUAUUCCAAAAUCAAAUAUUUUUUAAACAUUUGCAUGACUCUCAAGUGGUGUCUCUUAAUAUUACCUCCACAUUACAAUAUUUCAAAGUUUAAGCAGUGGUCUAUAUUUAAUAAAUUAUGAAAAAUGUGUUGCCCUGAAAACCAACUAACCAAUGAUCUCUGAUGUUUUUCUGUGUGCAGGUCAGUGUGGAAUUCUAGAGUUUUGGAACUCAGAUUUAGACGUUUGUGUGCCGUGUGCAUCAUGCAAGCAGUACCCAAAGACCCCGUCAUGCAACACAUGUAUAUCUGUGGAUGAGACACCUGACGUGUGGAAACUAGCAGCCAUCACCAGCUUCUCUGUGCUGGCUGUUGUGCUGGUUGGUGCUGCGCUCAUCAUCGGGGUCAUGGUGCAUCGACGCAAGUCACACAAACGGCCUCUGCGUGAACCCAUUGAAGAAACAGCGGGGCCACUUUUCCAGGCUUAAACAUUUCACCUCAACUUAAUCUGGAAACAGAUGUGACAGAACCAAGGAGUGACUGGUUCAGACCUGGACGGAGCAACCUCUAUGCAGAGAGCUAUAUACUCUGACUGCAGGUCAGGGUAUCUCUUCCCCAGAAUAGGAUGAUUUUAAUUUAUUGUGACUGUUGGGUGAAGAGAUGUGCUCAGUUCUCUCACUCAGUGUAGACCCGACAGUGACUACAGGAGCAACUCUUUCACCUCUGUAGUAAUAGUAACAUUAUAUUAGUGGUAUCAUUCUCAGAUAUUGUGUGCCUUUACAUUCCACUUAAAUAAUAUCUACGUCUGGAAGACCUUCGUGGUUUAACUUUUUUUUUGAUUCAGAAAAAAAAGACUACAGUCCUUUCUUCAGAGAGAUGGGUGCUUUCCAAAUCCUGUGUAUUUUCUAGCAGGACUCCAAUGAAUGUAAGACAGCUACUGCUGCCUGCUGGGCUGUGAUCUCCUGCCAUUAAGUGGGGUUAGGCGGGGUCUGUCUGCCAGUCAUUUACCACAACAGCCUGUUAAAGAAAAAUCACAUGUGAGUAAGAUGUACUGUUGGCACAUUAAGGCCAUUUGAAUGUAGCUACUUUUACAGUAGGUGAAAUGUAUUCUAGCCUUCUUCCCUGCCAGUACCUGCUCUUUUAGUUGCCUGGUAUAGUGAAAAAAUCGUUUGAUUAACUGUACUCAUUCACUGUUACUUAUGACAACAAAACAAAGACCCUUUAUUGCAGGUUAUUACAAUAUUGUCUUGUCUGUUGUAAUGUUACUCGAUUUUAGCUGGAUUUUUCCUCUACCACAACCCCAGAAUUCCCUCGUUACUGUCGCAGUGUUGUAGGACGGGACAGAACACUAGACACACAAUCCCAAACUGCUAACAUGUGGGAAUGUUACAAGUAAUGUACUGUAGUGAAGAAAAUGACAACUACAGUGUUUUGGUGGAGCUACACAAUCCCUAUGCGUAUUAACUUUGACCUGUUGAAUCGUCUUAGAUCUCAAGAAAUAUGUGGAGAUAUGAGAUGUCUGUUUAUAAUUUUGUGGCCAUUGAAACCAGUGAGAACUAUGGUGGCCAAGGUUGUUUUCCAUUUAUUUUUUUAGUUCAGGAUGCUUUCUAUCUUGAUCAUCAGUUACUGAUGUUUUCUGUGUGGUUGACAAUGUUUCAGGUCAUAUUUUGGAUCUGUCUACUUGUGGGUAAAAUGCUUGCCCUUUGACAGCAGAAUUAGGGAAUUACUUAACACACAGAUACUUCCUUUUUUCUUUAAGUUUUAAUAUUAUUUAUUUUUAAAUAUCUUGUGUCGUUUUGCAUCAAUUGCGAGUGACAAGCACAAUUUUAAAGGGACUCCAGUGAAGAUUUUUGUUAAACUUCCACCAGGCCAGCUAAUGAUGAUACUGAGCAAUAACUAACAAUUUCCGCAUAUUUCUCUUGCAUUCUAUUUCUAAUUGUAUAUACUGUACAUGCACUGGCUUCUUGUAUGUAAUGCAAUCGUAUCAACUGCUUUGUGUACCAAAUGUAUUUUCACAAUAAAACUGACAACUUCCAAUAAAUGCAAGUCUUGUUGAUAUGCAAACUGCAAAGACGGUUCCAUUUUCUGCUAGGUAACAUUUAUCUGAAUAAUAUGACAUAAGUCAUGGGUUACAGUAUUAAAUGCCAU